CCUAACUUCUCUGAUUCUAAAUUCCAUGGUAAUUUUUACUAAGCCACGGGGCCUGUUAUAAACAAAUGGCCCAACUUUUUCUUUCACCCAGGUGGACUCAGACAGGGCAAAACUGGUUCUGAUGCACCAGUCUCAAGCUCUAUUCCCUUCUGCCCCACCUCCCCUUCUUCCAAUGUCCUUCCCCUUACAGAAACCUGCUCUUCAGAAGGACUCUGACUUUGGCAUUUACUUACUAAAGGGGAUCUGUACGCAUCUAGGCAAUAACACGCACCAUCAAUGGGAAAGAGUGCUCAAGGAACUUCAUUGUCCACCUGUAUUAGUGUUAAAGAGCAGUGACACAAGAAAGUGAUCAAAGAUGGAGUCAUUCCUUAGGAGAAGUUCAGCAGCAAUCCCUGCAAGGAAAAGGUGCUUGUGACUCACAUGGAUGGAAAAACCAAACUUGUCAUUUGGGAAAGGAACUCGAUUAUGCCCAGUGGAAGGAAGAAUUACAGAAGAGAUUCGUGACCUAGUUUCAGUAGAAAUGAGAGAUGUCUGUAAGCUGAUGACAUUCGGAAAACCUUAAAACAAUACCUUUUUUAUGUGGCACAAGAAGUGACUUAUAAAAGUACUGAAAAUGGGAAAAGCCUAAGAUGAGACCUUGGAAUACAAACAUCCAUUCAUGAAAUGGGAAACAGUGAAGGACAUUAGGUAAUAAUGGAUUUUCCAUCCUUAUGGAUCUCACACAAAAUCUCUGUAGAGGAAGGGAGGGAAACAAGUCUAGGAACACUGAGAAAUACAGUCAUUUUCCCCAAGACCCUGAAUCAGAAUCUGCAUGAGUCUAUCUAACAUGUAGUGAAUGGCUCACGGAUAUAUAACUAGAAGAGAGAGACAAGGAAAGAAGCAAGAAUCAAACACCCGUAUGUGGAAACUCAAAAAAAGAACUGAGAAAACCCCACAAGAUCAACUCUGAAAUGGCUAAACUUAAUUCUAGCCUAACGGCAUGAAAUACAACAUUCUCUAGGAAGACCAAUGUUUCUACAUGCAUCUUGAGUCAUUGAACGUCAGGGUCUUGGAAGUAUCACCUCAUGGGUAGGAGCCUAACUUCUGAUUAAAGGAUUUAUAAGAAAUUAUUAUGCACAUCAUGUGUAUUCUAAGGAAUCAUGUACAAAACUUGAUAAGAAAUUCACAUGAAUCAGAGCUGCUAUAAAGUAUUGAGAGCCUAUUAUGAGCAAAAUAGUCAUUGAUACAAGUAUGUGCCAGGGACUCUUCUAAAUCCAUGACAAUGAACCAAAGUGACAAAUAUUCCUACCUUCAUGGAGCUUACAUCCCAUUAUUUAACAUCUGCACAAUUCUAACAACAGCCACAGAUGUUAUUAUUCUUAUUUUGCAGGUGAGGAAACUGAGAUUUAAAAAAAGUGAGUAACUUACCUACAGUGACAGAGCUAGUAACUCAUGUGCCAGAAUUCAAAUCCAGCUCUGUGCAGCUUCAAAGCCUCAAUUUUUACCUGCUUUGCUACGCUAUCUUCUAUAAGCAACAGAAAAUGGGUUCUAAUGAGCAUUAACACAUCUACCACAACUCAGAUGAGUAUUCUCGAUUAAAAAAAAAAUACUUUCCUAUUUGCAGUAAACAAACUACAACUUAUAAGGAGGCGGAUACUCAGUACCAAGUGCCUACCAGUAGGCAGGAUCUCAUUCAACCAAAAUGUAUUAAUCGGGUACAGUGUCAAACCUUAGACCACUUCUUAGGGAUAUAAAUUAGACAAGUCUAGUGGGGAAGAAGAACAUAUAAAUGGAUCAUCAUAACACAGCAUGAUAAGGCUGAAAUAAGAUAAGCCCAGGAUGCUCAAGAGAGUACAGAAAACAGAUCAAUAUAGACUGAAAGGAAGGAAUGUUGACCUCUGCGUUGAGUUUUAGCCAGCAGGGGUGAGCUUGAUGAAGAAAGGGGAGGUGGAGUGAGAAAAUGGUAAAGUGCUUUGAGUAGAGAGGCAGAAUGAUAUGUGCAGGGAUGUGAAAGACAGCAUGGUGCUUGAGAAAAUGCAAGCAUUUCAGCAUGAGGGUGAAUUGUGAGAGAGAUGCUCCUGAAAACUGGCUGUAGUGUAUUUUAGCAAUGUGUGUGUUUAGAGAAGGUUGCACACAGGAUGGAAAUUGGGGGGCACAUCUAGAAAUCUAAUAGUGAGUUACAGAAUCUAUUUCAUGGAUCUUGGCCAAUAUUUAGUUAAAACAACAAAAGAAUAAAAUAGAAUAAAAAAUAUCAAGUAUACCAUAUGUAGUAAGGUAUUGUUUCAUAAAACACACACGUAUGUUAGGACUGAGUCUUGAUGUUUAAUGUAUGUCUUACUAUGACUCAUGAUCCAAAAAGUUUGGAAAGCACUGAUCUAUCUGUACCUUCCAACAGGCAGAUUGUUCCCUUUGGACUUACUCAACAGGGCUCCCUUGGGGGGACCUCCUAUCUAUUUAUUCCUGUCAGGAGAAAAGAGAGGUUGCUUGGAACAAACAUGUCCCAGUUUCUUAAAGACUUUCCAUAUUCCAAAGUCCAUGAUCUAAUUCUAAAUCUCAAGUGGCUAUACAGAUAAACUACAAUGACCAGGGCUAUUUCUGAAAAGCAAUUAAUAUUUCCAUUUUGCAGAAGUGAGACAAAAUAGGCACACAAAAUAAAGCUUCAAAUGACUCUAAGAAAGUCUGGGGCCCGUAAAAAGUUCUCUGUCCCAGCUAUGUUUUCCACCAAAUGAAUCAACCAGGUACAGAGUCAAUGCAUAUGAGUCAUGAAACACACCCUAUGUCGUAUCUCUCUCUUCUUUUCCUUUACACAGGGAUUUUCCCUAAAAAUUACUUUUGGAUUUUAUUCCUCACUUUUUUUUCCCUAAGUCCAGUCAAUUUCUCCCAGUCAAUUUCUUGCCAGUUUCUCUGCUUUUUGAUGUUUUCCUUGAUGGUGUUUAAUCUUGUUUCUCUUCUCUUUUGUCUGAUCAUUCUGAAUUCAUAAAAAAGUUCAUAUACAAAGAAAAUCCAUAUAAAACAUGGCUUUAAAAGGAAAGAACUUAAAAUAUUGCUGUUUCCUUUAAAUUUAUUACUUAACUGAUUGCAAAGCACAAGAGUCAAAGAGAAAGUUAACAGAAGUAGUUUAAUAAAUACCUCUUAACUAAAUUAUCUGGCUAAUUUAGGCCAUUAAGAUACUGGAGUUGAUAAAAACAAGUCAAAAAUUGACUUUGGGCCUAAAUUAAUUAGACUUGGUCAAUAUCAGUAGAAUUAAUCACACAUUUGUCUACGAAUCAACAAUCAGAAGUCAACGUUGGAAAUGACAGAUCACCUCUCAAGCCCUAAUUAUUUACGCUUCUCGAAGACUAUACCUCUCUUCUCUGAGCUAUAAAAGCAUCAGUUCUUAUUGGGAGGAGCUUUUGUAGAAUCAUAGACUUCUUGAACUUGAAAACAACCUUAGAGAUUAUCUGGUCCAGAGUUUCUCAAUCAAUUUUAUGAGGUUGAGAACAUAAAAAAUUAUCACAUGCUUGGUCCUCAUGCAGAUUCAAAUGGCCCUUUGGUUGGGAGUCUAUGCUUUUUAUAUCUCUACCUGCUAAGAAGUGUUUGUCAAUCUCUUAUUUCCUGUGGUUCCUGAAAAUAUUUUUCUUAUAUUUUUUAAAUGAAAAUGUAAUGUUGAAUUUGCUUUAUUAAACUAUGUAUAAAACUCGGGA